UAUGAAGAACGUAGCGAAAUGCGAUAAGUAAUGUGAAUUGCAGAAUUCAGUGAAUCAUCGAAUCUUUGAACGCACCUUGCGCUCCUUGGUAUUCCGAGGAGCAUGCCUGUUUGAGUGUCAUUAAUAUAUCAACCUCUUCAGCUUAUGCUUGUUGAGUGUUGGAUGGUGGGGGUUUGCUGGUGUCUUAUGAAGUCAGCUCCUCUGAAAUGCAUUAGCGGAACAAUUUGUUGACCGUUCAUUGGUGUGAUAAAAAUAUCUACGCUAUUGACGUCAGUCAGUUCAGCUUCUAACAGUCCAUUGACUUGGACAAAUUUUUCAUUAAUGUGACCUCAAAUCAGGUAGGACUACCCGCUGAACUUAAGCAUAUCAAUAAGCGGAGGA
rnacentral:misc_RNA from 1 species